rnacentral:tRNA from 1 species
GUAUUGGUGGUUCACUGGUAGAAUUCUCACCUUUUAUGUGGGAGAUCCAGGUGUGAUUCCUAGCCAAUGCA